rnacentral:lncRNA from 1 species
CCGGGAGAUCACGUUCCUACCCAGGCAGGGAGGGAUGAGAAGGGAGCAGACAUGCCAUGAGCUGCAGGAGCUGUGUUCCAGGCAGCAGUACGCUUCCUUCCUUCCCUGGGCCUCAUCCAGGGAACAGUGUUGCUGACCUUCGGAGCCACAAAGGCCACAGAUAAUGGGGCACAGCAGGUCGAUGGAGUCAGCAGAGGGGAGAGUCCAUGUGAAUUUGAAGUCUCAGGAUGUGGAUGUGGCAUGGAAAAUUCUGGACCUUUAAUGCUUCCCCACCUGAGAUGA